AUGCUUGACACUUACAGUCCCUCCAGAACUUUUACUCUCUGGCCAAAACGUGUCCCAGAUGAUGGUUCCUCAUUUGUACGUACACCACAACAUAUCCCAGAUGAUGGUUCUGCGUGCGUACGUACACCACAACAUAUCCCAGAUGACGGUUCCUCAUGUGUACGUACACCACAACAUAUCCCAGAUGAUGGUUCCUCAUGCGUACGUACACCACAACAUAUCCCAGAUGACGGUUCCUCAUGCGUAGGUACACCACAACAUAUCCCAGAUGAUGGUUCUGCGUGCGUAGGUACACCACAACAUAUCCCAGAUGAUGGUUCUGCGUGCGUAGGUACACCAAAACGUAUCCCAGAAGAUGGUUCCUCAUGUGUACGUACACCACAACAUAUCGCAGAUGACGGUUCCUCAUGCGUACGUACACCACAACAUAUCCCAGAUGACGGUUCCUCAUGCGUAGGUACACCACAACAUAUCCCAGAUGACGGUUCCUCAUGUGUACGUACACCACAACAUAUCCCAGAUGAAUGUUCUGCCUGUGUAGGUACACCACAACAUAUCCCAGAUGACGGUUCCUCAUGCGUACGUACACCAAAACAUAUCCCAGAUGACGGUUCCUCAUGUGUACGUACACCACAACAUAUCCCAGAUGAAUGUUCUGCCUGUGUAGGUACACCAAAACGUAUCCCAGAUGAUGGUUCUGCGUGCGUAGGUACACCAAAACAUAUCCCAGAUGAUGGUUCUGCGUGCGUAGGUACACCAAAACGUAUCCCAGAAGAUGGUUCCUCAUGUGUACGUACACCACAACAUAUCGCAGAUGACGGUUCCUCAUGCGUACGUACACCACAACAUAUCCCAGAUGACGGUUCCUCAUGCGUAGGUACACCACAACAUAUCCCAGAUGACGGUUCCUCAUGUGUACGUACACCACAACAUAUCCCAGAUGAAUGUUCUGCCUGUGUAGGUACACCACAACAUAUCCCAGAUGACGGUUCCUCAUGCGUACGUACACCAAAACAUAUCCCAGAUGACGGUUCCUCAUGUGUACGUACACCACAACAUAUCCCAGAUGAAUGUUCUGCCUGUGUAGGUACACCAAAACGUAUCCCAGAUGAUGGUUCUGCGUGCGUAGGUACACCAAAACAUAUCCCAGAUGAUGGUUCUGCGUGCGUAGGUACACCAAAACAUAUCCCAGAUGAUGGUUCUGCGUGCGUAGGUACACCGCAAGUACAACGAUCUGACCUUAAUAUAGCAUUUAGGUGCCCUAAUACUAGUUGA
rnacentral:lncRNA from 1 species